GAUUUUCAUGAAUUAUUUUAGUUGGUCAAAAUAAAAUAGCGUAUAGCUAAAGAUUAUUGAACUAGAAUAUAUAUGGCAAUUCAUUUAUCUCAACCAACUCGGUGAUUAAUUAAUGUAGGUUAAUUAAUUAACCUUGCUGUAUGGCAUCCUGUGGGGUUAAUGCUAACCAUCCAUCUAUAUACUUCUGCCAUUGCUGAGGCAAAGGAGUAAGGCAUCACUAGGAACUGGAAGAUUUACAAUCUUCCACAGUCAUACCUACAUAUGGCAUAGCAAAAAUUAUACACGUUCCUAUUUGAAUAGACCAUUAUUCCCAGCUUUAAAAUAGUAGAAAAGAGGCAGAGAGAGGCGACAAUGCUCCCUCCCUUUCCAUAGCUUUCCCAGGUCACUACUGAAAGCUUAUCAGGCCUUGGUUUAAUAAUCUCUGUUCCUUGGCAGUCUGCUACUUAGCAACUAAAUCAUUCUCCCUUUCCCCAUUUGUUCUACUCACCUUGCAACCUAAAAGAUGAAAAAUAUUUAUCCCAGAUGUGUAAAUUAAAUACGCAGGCAUUCAAAUUCAGUAGAUUUUCAUACAUUAAGGGAUGUCAGGAAUGUAGCUAAAUGCUAAUGUUAUCUAGGGUAUCUCUGAUGAAAUGGGAUUUAAGUGUGCUUGAGUAGCAAAACUUUAUCAGAUAGAAUGGGAUAUUUUUACCAAAAUAAUUUAUUUAAUGAUCUGUGCUUUCCAAAUUUAUAAGCAAGUAUUUUUCCUUAGUAAAAAGAGUGGAGGGGUUCUUAGGGCUCCUUUUUAGUGAACAACCGACCGAAAGGAUAAUUCUGUAAUAAUUUCUUUUUUUUGAGAUUGAGUUUCACCCUUGUUGACCAGGCUGGAGUGGAAUGGAUGAUCUCGGCUCACUGCAACCUCUGCCUCCCGGGUUCAGGCAACUCUCCGGCCUCAACCUCCUGAGUAGCUGGGAUUACAGAUAAGAAUUAUUGCACCAUUUUUCAGAUGAAGAAACUGGAAAUUCAGAGGUGUUAGCUUGUCCAAGUGUAUUGUGUAGAGCCUGGAGUAUUCUACCCAGCACUGGAUACCGGAGUGGAUUUUUUUUCCCCUACUUAAUGUAAGUUUAAGGCUUUGUGCUUAUUUUUUAAAAAUCAAAACCAGGUAUUUCAUUCUUUUACUAUUGAUUCUUAUAUAUAUCUGCAUAUAGUGAGUACUAUUUAUAGAAAUACAUGUGCAAUUCAGAAAUAUGUAUUUCAUUGUUAAAAUAAAGAUUAAAGCAGAAACUUAUUUAUUAGACUCUUAAUUAAUUUUAGAGAAAAAUAAUAAUGAAUAAGUUGUACUAUGGGUUUUCAAUGGGCAGUAUCUAUUUCUGGAACCACUAACCAAUGAUUGAAUAACUAAGUCAUUAAUCCUUCAAUGUGCUUAAGCUCUUAAAUAAAUGGGCACAGAGGAUAAAUAAUUUUUUAAAAAAGUGAAAAACUAGCCACCAAAGCUUAUUUUGUUGUCCCUCAAAUUUACCUAGUAAUUAGCUGGCAUUUUUCCUAUGAUAUGUUAAAGUCAAUUAAAUAGAUGCUUUAGUCAGGAUUAAUUGUAUCACAGUAAAGUUAAAAAGGAAGAAUAUGAAUGCUUAUGUUUUUGUUUACUUGAAUGUAAAAGGAGAAUCAUUUUACCCUAACUUCUAGGAUGUUUGGAUCCAUUUAUGACAGUCUGCAAGCUUAUCUUCUUAUACAUUUUUUUGCAUAUUGUAAUGUAUGAUGGGCUUAUACCAUGACAAAGAUUGAAGAUUAAUAUUGCGCAAAGAAUACUCUCUUCCUUUGACCUAUUCAAAAAUAUCAAUGAGAAGGUUUUUGGAAAUCUUUUCUUAUUCUACACAGAAGUGAAAAUAUGCUACAGGCCUUGGCUUCAAACUCUUUUAAUUUCUUAUUUAAGUCUUACUCCUUGUUUAUAAAAAGAAGAUAACUUUAAAAUAGUGCUGUAUGAACUAAAUUUAACUAGAAAUAUAAAGCACCUUCUAUAUAAUGAAUGUACUAAAAAUAUUAAUUCAGGGUCCCCCUCUACAUACAAUAUACAUAUUCAGAAGAGAUGAUUUAAUUAUGGUCAAAAGGAAAAUUUGUGUGCUCCUGAUUUUGUUUUAAUUUUACUGUAAAUGCCUUAUUUAUACAUGAAUAUCACCUAAGAUCACGUUGUUUACAUUGGUAUUACAAUUUAUCCAUUUUAUUUCAACUCAAAUUUAUCAGCGUAGACCACUUCUCUGUAGUCUAUCAGGUGCUGAGGAGAGCUGCUUUAGAGUGAAGACUUUUAGAUUAUCUGGGACUCUUUUUUUUUUCUGUUUGGUUACUGUAAGCAGAGUUGACAACUACCACAAAAGAAAGUAUUGUUCAGAAAGCCACAGCUGGGAUUGCUGAUGAUAUUAUGAGGCCUUCAGCAAGCUGGGUUGAAAAGAGGAGGGGCUGAUAGGGCUUCUAUUCCAGAUGGAUCAGAGAGGCUCCCAGUGAGGGGAAGAGUGAGAGCUCACUGACUCCUAGGUGCGGAAAGUAGGACCUUUAAACACAGACAACUAAAACACUUCACUCCUACAUACAUAACCACAAAAAAUAAUUUCAAUAAAAGUAAGUCACUUUCUCAAGGAUAUCUUAGAAAAUGUUUCUAUUUGAUCACAUACUGAUUUUUCCAGAAGUAUUUCAAAAUUUCAUUAGAUUAUUAGGUAUGAGUAAACGUACUAAUGAUUGAAAUCCUUAAGGUUAAAUUUGAGUGAUUGUAAAGGACAUGAGACGUGAGCAUCAA